rnacentral:rRNA from 1 species
GAUGAACGCUGGCGGCGUGCCUAAUACAUGCAAGUCGAGCGAAUGGAUUAAGAGCUUGCUCUUAUGAAGUUAGCGGCGGACGGGUGAGUAACACGUGGGUAACCUGCCCAUAAGACUGGGAUAACUCCGGGAAACCGGGGCUAAUACCGGAUAACAUUUUGAACCGCAUGGUUCGAAAUUGAAAGGCGGCUUCGGCUGUCACUUAUUGAUGGACCCGCGUCGCAUUAGCUAGGUGGUGAGGUAACGGCUCACCAAGGCAACGAUGCGUAGCCGACCUGGGACGUUGAGCGGCGGCACUGGGACGGAGACACGGCCAAGCAUCCUACGGGAGGCAGCAGUAGGGAAUCUUCCGCAAUAGACGAAAGUCUGACGGAGCAACGCCGCGUGAGUGAUGAAGGCUUUCGGGUCGUAAAACUCUGUUGUUAGGGAAGAACAAGUGCUAGUUGAAUAAGCUGGCACCUUGACGGUACCUAACCAGAAAGCCACGGCUAACUACGUGCCAGCCGCCGCAGUAA